GCUAGUGUGGCGUAGUGGUGUGAGCAUUGGACUAGGGCUCUGAAGACCAGGGUUUGAAUCCCAGCUCAGCC